rnacentral:rRNA from 1 species
AAGCUGGCACCUCCGGUGUCCGCGUUGUAAUCUCGAGACGUGUUUUCCGUGCGGCUCUAUGGACAAGUCCCUUGGAAUAGGGCAUCGUAGAGGGUGAGAAUCCCGUACUUGCCAUGGAAGAACCGUGCUUUGCGAUACACGCUCUAAGAGUCGAGUUGUUUGGGAUUGCAGCUCAAAAUGGGUGGUAGACUCCAUCUAAAGCUAAAUAUCGGGGAGAGACCGAUAGCGAACAAGUACCGUGAGGGAAAGAUGAAAAGCACUUUGGAAAGAGAGUUAAAAGUACGUGAAAUUGUCGAAAGGGAAGCACUUGAAGUCAGCCAUGCUGCUUGAGACUCAGCCUGGCCUUUGGGCUUGGUGUAUUUCUCGGUGGCAAGCCAGCAUUGGUUUGGGUCGUCGGAGAAGCGCAUAGGGAAUGUAGCGUCUCCGGACGUGUUAUAGCCUUAUGCAGGAUACGACGACCUGGAUCAAGGAACGCAGUGUGCCCUCUGGGC